rnacentral:rRNA from 1 species
AUGGCGUCCCCCCGUCCCAUGGCCGCCGCGCCCGCCGUCCUCCUCCUCGUCCUGCUCCUCGUCGCCACAGAGAUGGGGACGAUGAAGACGGCGGAGGCCCGGACGUGCCAGUCGCAGAGCCACAAGUUCAAGGGCGCCUGCUUCAGCGACACCAACUGCGCCAGCGUGUGCCGCACCGAGAAGUUCCCCCGCGGCCAGUGCAACACGCACUACGUCGAGCGCAAGUGCUACUGCGAGCGGGACUGCUGA